ACCCGCUGAAUUUAAGCAUAUAGGUAGGCGGAAGAAUUUAAGCCAAAUGGUAUCUCUAAAGUAAUUGCGAAUGAAUUAGAAUUUGUUCAAUUUGACAAGUGGGGCCUUAAGCCUUGACAUGUAAUGUAAAGCUGUUUUGCCAAUGGGGCAUUGAAUGUGCGCUUUUUGGAAAAGAGCAGCCAUAAGGGUGAUACUCCUUUCUGCCAUUCAUUUGUUUUUGUGUACUGCAUACAUGUGUGGAUUCACACUUUUUGGGAAUGAAGUGCAAAGAGGGUGGUAAGUUUCAUUGAAAAAUUAAUAAAAGCCGGAGACUGAUAGCGCACAAGUACCUUGAGGGAAAAAUGAAAAGGACUUUGAAAAGAAAGUUAAAAUAGCUUCAACUUGCUGAAUGGAAAGCAAACAGACAUCAUAUAUGAUUGAAAGAUUGUCAUUGUGUUGUGUUUCUCAUGUUCCCAUUUGUGUUAUAGUAAUGCGGUGAUGCAUCUUUUUGUAUUGCUAACCUUAACUCAUGAACUUACAUUGCUUGGUUAUGAGUAUUGCCUGAUGGUACAACAUUGUAACCCAUGACAACUCGUGUAUAUGUUGCAUUGUUCAUUUGUUGCUUGAUUGCAUGAAUUGGCAAACACCACUGGUCAAUGCGAUGAAACACAAAACUGUUGUUGGCAUUAUCUAUCUGUUUGGCCCGUCUUGAAACACGUACCAAGGAGCCUAACAGGUGUGCGAGUGAUUUGGGGCACAUUAUUUGUUAAAUAAAUGUAUAAGCUUGUAUAUUUGCGCAAGCAGCCAACUAACUUAUUGUAAUAGGUUUGAGCUUAAGCAUUGCUGUUAAGACCCGAAAGAUGGUGAACUAUAUUUGAAAAGGGCAAGGUCAGGGGAAACUCUGGUGGAGGCGCAUAGCGAUACUGACGUGCAAAUCGUUCGUUGUACUUGGGUAUAUGGGGCGAAAGAUUCAUCGAACCAUCUAGUAGCUGGUUCCGUCCGAAGUUUCCCUCAGGAUAGCUGGAUGUGUAAAAGUUUUAUCAGGUAAAGCGAAUGAUUAGAGGAAUUGGGGGUGUGCUAUCUUUGACCUAUGCUCAAACUUUAAAUGGGUAUGGUGCAAUGUUUUCUUCGGUGAUUGUUGUGGCAAAAUAAACAUUCCAAGUGGGCCAUUUUUGGUAAGCAGAACUGGCGAUGAGGGAUGAACCUAACAUUGGGUUAAUGUGCUUAGCUACUUGCUUAUAUGAUACCAUAAAGGGUGUUGUUUCAUUUGAACAGCUGGACGGUGGUAAUGGAAGUUGAAAGCCGCUAAGGAGUGUGUAACAACUCACCUGCCGAAUGGACUAGCCCCGAAAAUGGAUGGCGCUAAAGCAGGUGACUGAUACCCAAUCAGUGAUGUUAGUUUCAAAC
rnacentral:rRNA from 1 species